rnacentral:rRNA from 1 species
AUUGAACGCUGGCGGCAUGCUUUGCACAUGCAAGUCGAACGGUAACAGGCCUUCGGGUGCUGACGAGUGGCGAACGGGUGAGUAAUGCAUCGGAACGUGCCCAAUCGUGGGGGAUAACGUAGCGAAAGUUACGCUAAUACCGCAUAAGCCCUGAGGGGGAAAGUGGGGGACCGCAAGGCCUCACGCGAAUGGAGCGGCCGAUGUCAGAUUAGCUAGUUGGUGGGGUAAAGGCUCACCAAGGCGACGAUCUGUAGCGGGUCUGAGAGGAUGAUCCGCCACACUGGGACUGAGACACGGCCCAGACUCCUACGGGAGGCAGCAGUGGGGAAUUUUGGACAAUGGGCGCAAGCCUGAUCCAGCCAUGCCGCGUGCGGGACGAAGGCCUCGGUUGUAACG